UGCUAGGGAGUUGUAGGGUGAACUCCAGGUGAGUGGGCAGUUUUGUUUUCCGUAUAUAUAUAUACUUGACGUUUUCCCAGAAAUUGAAAUUUAAUGAAAGUAUGCUUUAAAUGCAAUGUAUAAAAUUAUAUGAAAAGUAUAUUGAAAUGUGAAUUGAGAUGCCAUGCAUAAAAGUAUAUGCAAAGUAUAUAGAAAUGUGAAUCGAAUUGCCAUGCAUGAAAUGAUAUGAAAAGUAUGAAUUGAGAUAUGAUGCAUAUGAAUGAAUGGUGCGGCGGAUGCACAUGUGAGUAUCAGGUGAGUAUUUAAAUACUGUUAUGAUGAUGUUGAUAUAUAUUGAGCUCAAAUCCUGCACCAUGGUUUAGUGCUUAUAGUAUUCACCGCAUCGCACGCUCGCCUUGGAUCCAAGUAGAUGCUGGUCGCACAGUCCACGCGGAGUGGGUGCGACGAGCCAGUCGUAGAGUGUUAGUGAGAUUUCGACUGGUGGGUGACCUUAGAUUAUGUGCACAGAUGAUUGAUGAGAGAAGCACUAGAGCGUAACUUGUGUGCAGAAGGCCGGACAGGUCACAGAGGUGACUCCGGCAGAGUGAGAGUGAUAGAUUUUGAGCUCUAGGUUCAACCGUACAGGGCUAUUAGAGGGCCUCCGGUUGAUUACUUUCUUGCACCUGAUAUGAUUAUUGUUGAUGCAUCCAUACUUAACUGUUGAAUUAGACAUGGCAUGGCAUGAUUGAUAAAGAAAAAUGUUGAGAUAGUAAAAAUGAAGUUUGAGAAUAUAUAUGUAUAUUUAUAUUUUACAUUUCUGGGAAAGUAUACAGGUUUUACGGAGAGGGGUUACAACGUUUUGAGAAAUGUUUGGAUUUGGAAAAGAAUUGUUUUACUGACCCACUCAAUUUUGGUUUUGCGCCCCUCCAGGUUCAGGAAUCACAAAGGUGUGGUGACUAUGAGGAAUUCGACGGUGUUCUGACAGAUUGGACAAAAUUAGGACUCACCUUCGGGUGUAUCAACUUAUAAAUUGUAUCUUAAAGCUUCCGUACUGUGCAAAUGGUUACGUCACUCUCAAGUGACGGCCAGCAUGCCCUCCUUCGGGACGGGGUGUGUCACUCCCACUAUUUGUUUUAAGAAAAACAAAUCAAUAUAAAAAAAACGAAUUUUUCAAAUAUUGGAAGUAACUACUACUACUACGGUUUUUGCAUUCCUUUGAAAUUGAACUUUAUAGUUAUCUUAGGCUCUUGGAUGACCAUGGACUUAUUAGGUUAUUGCAACAACGAGCCAACAUUGUUGAAUAUAAACUCGGGGAGGUUGUGUCAAUUUAAUUACGUGCUUAUCAAUCCAAUUAAAACCAUUUUCAUUGAGCCAUUAGAAAUGAAAGACAAUCAUCCAUUGCUAAUUUGGGCAUUGGACCCUUUUAAUCUUUAAUCUCAUGUCAAAACCCUCUUUUAAUUAUGUCUCCUUACCAAUAGUUAAAGAAACUCUAGUCUAGCACUAGAGGGAACAACUAACGAAUAGAGAUUAAGAAGUAAUAAGAAUUACAAACCGAUUUGUACAAAUUCCUAUAAAUUACAUGUACUAAAAGGGGAGAGAUAGAUUAACGUCAAACGUGACAAGGUCCAAUUAAACAGUAAUUAAAACACAUUCCC
rnacentral:lncRNA from 1 species